GGAUGCGAUCAUACCAGCAAUAAUGCACCGGAUCCCAUCAGAACUCCGAAGUUAAGCUUGCUUGGGCGAGAGUAGUUCUAUGAUGGGUGAUCUCCUGGGAAGGCCUCGUGUUGCAUCCCUCU
rnacentral:rRNA from 1 species